rnacentral:rRNA from 1 species
GCAUAUCAAUAAGCGGAGGAAAAGAAACUAACCAGGAUUCCGUCAGUAAGGGCGACUGAAGUGGCAAUAGCUCACCAUGUGAAUCUGCGUAAGCCGAAUUGUGGUUUCGCUUGUGUUAGGGGCUGGGCCAAGUCCGUUGGAACACGGCAGCUGAGAGGGUGAGACUCCCGUUUGCCUGGCCCUUGGAACAAGUGUGUUCGAGUCGAGUUGUUUGGGAAU